CCUGCGGAAGGAUCAUUACCGAGUU
rnacentral:rRNA from 2 species